UUGAACGCUGGCGGCAUGCUUUACACAUGCAAGUCGAACGGUAACAGGCCGCAAGGUGCUGACGAGUGGCGAACGGGUGAGUAAUGCAUCGGAACGUGCCCAGUCGUGGGGGAUAACUACUCGAAAGAGUAGCUAAUACCGCAUACGAUCUAUGGAUGAAAGCGGGGGACCGUAAGGCCUCGCCCGAUUGGAGCGGCCGAUGUCAGAUUAGGUAGUUGGUGGGGUAAAGGCUCACCAAGCCAACGAUCUGUAGCUGGUCUGAGAGGACGACCAGCCACACUGGGACUGAGACACGGCCCAGACUCCUACGGGAGGCAGCAGUGGGGAAUUUUGGACAAUGGGCGCAAGCCUGAUCCAGCAAUGCCGCGUGCAGGAAGAAGGCCUUCGGGUUGUAAACUGCUUUUGUACGGAACGAAACGGCUCUGGUUAAUACCCGGGGCUAAUGACGGUACCGUAAGAAUAAGCACCGGCUAACUACGUG
rnacentral:rRNA from 1 species